UGGUGGAGUGAUUUGUCUGCUUAAUUGCGUUAACGAACGAGACCUCAGCCUGCUAAAUAGUUAUGCGAACCGUCUACUCGUGUGAACGGGGCUGGACAGUCUGGGUCUUCGGACUUGGGCAUCCGGUGCCGGGAUCCUUGAUGCGUUCGUAGCAAUACUUCUUAGAGGGACAAUUGGUUUUAAGCCAAUGGAAGUUUGAGGCAACAACA
rnacentral:rRNA from 1 species